rnacentral:rRNA from 1 species
CUACGGGUGGCUGCAGUGGGGAAUAUUGCACAAUGGGCGCAAGCCUGAUGCAGCCAUGCCGCGUGUAUGAAGAAGGCCUUCGGGUUGUAAAGUACUUUCAGCGGGGAGGAAGGGAGUAAAGUUAAUACCUUUGCUCAUUGACGUUACCCGCAGAAGAAGCACCGGCUAACUCCGUGCCAGCAGCCGCGGUAAUACGGAGGGUGCAAGCGUUAAUCGGAAUGACUGGGCGUAAAGCGCACGCAGGCGGUGUGGUAAGUCAGAUGUGAAAUCCCCGGGCUCAACCUGGGAACUGCAUCUGAUACUGGCAAGCUUGAGUCUAGUAGAGGGGGGUAGAAUUCCAGGUGUAGCGGUGAAAUGCGUAGAGAUCUGGAGGAAUACCGGUGGCGAAGGCGGCCCCCUGGACGAAGACUGACGCUCAGGUGCGAAAGCGUGGGGAGCAAACAGGAUUAGAUACCCCAGUAGUC